rfam:Sorex araneus cont1.488510, whole genome shotgun sequence.
UCAUUGUGCCUUGCUUCCCUCCCCUGCACUAUAGAGAAGAGGAAGGAAACUUUAAUAAGACAAAAUCUGUUCACACCCAAGGCAAUAUCAGAUCUUUAUACCUCGUAGGCUUAAGUUCCAAGGUCAAGAACGAGUU